rnacentral:lncRNA from 1 species
AAAUAUUCAUAUCUAUACACAAAACAAAGGAAAUGACCUUGUAUACAAAAUGUCUUUUUACACAAUCAAAGAAAUUGAUUUUACAUUGAUAUAGACUUCUUUCAUCAGAGUAUAAAAAAUAUGACUUUAAACAAUUAUAGAAUUGUUUCAUCCUUGUAUCAAUCCUACAUAAGUUCUUUGAUCCUACACAUUGAUCUUCAAAUUACACAUUGAUCUUCAAAUGGAUGCUAAACAUUAAGCAGCAACGUGCAAACUGAUAUUCAGACACUUCUUCAAAUGCAGCCUACACAAUAAAGUCUAAUAAAAGUAAAAAACAAUAACAAUGGACAUUCAAAUUCAAAAAGAAAUUACCUUUGAUCAGAAAGGGAGAACUAAAGAAAAAUAAAAUUGAGAAAAAACAUGAAAGGAUGGCAUAGAAGAUCAAAGUUUGCAACUUUGAUAAAAAAACAGAGAAAACAAAAACAAAAAGAAAUUUCAGAAAGCUUUUGCAUGUGAGAAAGAAAGCUUUUUUUAUCAGAAACAGAGAACCAAAGACCAAAAAACAUGAGAAAACAUAUUGACAAAAUAAAAAUAAAAAUGAAAGGAUGACAGAGAAAAUCAAAGUUCGAAACUUUGAUAAAAAGAACAGAGAACAAUAAAUUUAAGAAAACUUUUGCAUGUUAGAAAGAAAGUUUUUUUUGUUUUGUUUUCAGAAACAGAGAACCAAAGACCAAAACACAAUAUUCUCCUAUCUUUGAUCCUACACAUUGAUCUUCAAAUUACACAUUGAUCUUCAAAUGUAGGCUACACAUUAAGCAGCAACGUGUUCUUCAAUCUGAUAUUCAGACACUUCUUCAAAUGCAGCCUACACAAUAAAGUCUAAUAAAAGUAAAAAACAAUAACAAUGGACAAUUCAAAUUCAAAAAGAAAUGACCUUUGAUCAGAAACAGAGAACCAUAGACAAAUAAAAAUGAGAAAAAGCGAUGGAAGACAACUUUGAUAAAAAGAACAAAGAAGAAAAAUAAACAUAAAUUUAAGAAAGGUUUUGCAUGUUAGAAAGAAAGUAAUAGAAUACAACCUGAACAGUUGAGUUGCAAUGCCUGUUUGAAUGCAUGGAGGAAGUGUUUGCCAUCUUUGAACUAGUAGUAAUGAUGAAAAACAAACACAUUGAAUAAGUUGGAUAAGAUGAACAAAAAGCGAAAAAUGAGAAAUAAGAUGAACAGAUGAACAAAUCAAAAGAACAAAAUAUCAGAAAGGCAAAAAUAAAGAGCAAUGAAAUUAACACAUGCUUACAACCCUAAAACAUGAACUCAACCCUAGUGAAAAAUACACCGUAUAUAUAGUGAAAAUAAUGGUGUUUUGGGGAAAAAAAGCUUUCAAAUACGACAUCUCUGAAGUUGUCGAAUUGGUGAAAAGGAGUAAAGGAUAGUAAUUAGGUUUUAGAGAUACAGAGAAUGGGGAAAGCGACGCUAGAAAGCAGAAAUUGAAAUUGAAAUUCAAAACAUUACCUGAAGGGUGCUCUGUCAUUGUUCUGCACAACUCCUGGAAUCGACAUUUGUAGAGCCAUACACGCCUCUGGAAAAGUCAUUGCUAGGCACACAAAAAACACAUUCU